AAGAUCAAUGGGAGUCAGGGUGAUCAAGAUGAAAGAGGAGAAGGUUCGGAGAAAUUGGAGGAUCCUAGGUCUCCCCUUCCAGACAGGACAGUACUCAUACUCUUCAAACUGGCGAAAUGUCAAUCCCGUCACUGUGCGGGUAUAAAGAGCUGUCAUGAAAUGAAGUCUGAUAUGCCCGCUCGUGUAAUAGAAUUCAUUUAACGCGUGCUGCUUCACCACUCUUAUUGCAGUGCAUAUUUUUGCUGGUCUGCUUGAAACUUCCAAAAUAGACUACUCUGAAUGUUAAAUCGUAGUAAGUAGAGUAAGCGCGAGUAAACGGCGAGAAUAACUAUGACUCUUUUAAGGUAGUCAAAUGCCUCGUCAGCUAACUAUUGAUGCGCUUGAAUGGAUUAACGAGAUUUCCACUGUCCCUAAUUGCUAUCUAGCGAAAUCACAGCCAUGGGAACGAGCUUGG
rnacentral:ncRNA from 1 species